rnacentral:tRNA from 1 species
GGCGACGUGGGUGAGCGGUUAAAACCGGGGUCUGCAAAACCUGGAUGUUCGCAAGUUCGAAUCUUGCCGUCACCG